CAGUCCCGUCAUGGAAACAAAUGACAAGCAUGUCCCUAAGUACCAAACCCUAAGCCCUGUGUGCUGGAAACGGUUUCUCUUGGACAAAGGUCACAUUCUUCCAAGAUGCUGGUUUCUACUCGGACGGUUCCCACUGCACCAAAUGCCUUGCUCGUUGUUCCCCGGUAGCGGUUCAGCACCUCCUCAGCGAGUUCUCUGAGAAGUCCAGCACCACUGCCGCCGCCAACAUCAUCCCGGCCCUGGGACAGACGCUGCCCCAGCACCACGUCCCAAGGCCCACCAUACUCAGGGCUCCCGGGACAUUCCCAGCACAGUGGCACAGUGUUCCCAAGCACUCACUGACCAGCUGACACAGUGUAUCUUUGGUUUGGCUUACUGCCGGCUCUGCCCUACUAGGAUAAGAAGCCCAUCGGGAGAGGGCUCCUGUCUCCGCUGCUUCGUACUGGCAUUGAAGGCAAUAACUGGGAUGCACGAGGCCUUAAGUAUUUCUUGAAUGAAUGAACGCACACACAAACACAUGAAUGACUGAACAAGCGAAUAAUGACUGACCAACGCAUACAGCAUACAAUCUUCAAAACACCUGAGAUGUUAACAAACUGAAGACCAUGAAAUGGUAGGUAUGUCAAUAAUUUUGGGGAUAUUUCAUUUGUUGUGUUCAUCACAAAGGAAAAGUGGCACAUGAAUAAGAUGCUUGGACAUGAAUUCAUGGUUGAUCUCACACUGGGUGGCAAUGGAGUCCUCUCAUCCUACCGUAUCUGUCCCGAGAUGCCCCAUUAUAUAACUAAAGCUGUGAAGCCACACCUCACCUACUCAUGGCCUGUGCUUUAGCAGAGCCCUCUAGAAGAGCAUAAAUCCUCUAAGAAAAUUUACCACUCCAGUUGGCCAGCUGUCUAGCUUCGGGUUUCCUCAAAGGCGAGUCUUUGACGAAUCAAGGGGCAGAGCCUUCCUCUCCACAAGGAAGCACUGGAGGAGGCCAGGAGGAGCCCCCCAGCCCCCUGCCCAAGUGGCAAUGGGACCAUUUCCCAGGCACUGAGAAUAGAGGAGGAGGAUGGGGAGGGGUGAACAUACUCAGGGUAGAUGACCCCAAGCUCAACUCACCUCUGGGACUCAUGUUCCUCCAAAGUCUCUCAAGGUACUUCCUUUGUUCUCACCCUUAACAUCCUAUAAAUGAAUCUGUGCUAUUUCUGCUGAUCUCCCUGGCUGUGGGCACUGCUAAGGAAAUCUGUGCAGGAAGUCAAGAGAAGAUAAAGGUCCUGGGUUCUACGAUGUCCACGGCUAUGUGUUCAAGGUGCAAGAAAACCCUCCAUUAAAAAACCUCAUUUGACUCUGUCCGAAGGAUGGACUGAGUUUUUCAAGAUUCUGUAUCAGAAAAGUUGCAUGUUUAUAAAAGCUGUCCUCAUAAUGAAGUGAAAACAUUUUAUUCAACACCACACACGCCCACAAUUUCAGGUCUACUGCAUCCGUUCUAUCGCAUCUGUAAACUACAUGCUCUGGCAUACUUCUGUUUUUCCUAUUUUUAAAAAAGGUCUCUGUAUUCCUUUCUUCUCAAUAACCAGUGGUGAGAAAAAGUGAUUUAUCACCUGCCACAGGACUGCUACUCAGUAUUCCCACCAUAAAUCUUGCCCUUCUGACAAAACCCUUAUCUUACAAAACAGAUAGCAUCAACCAUUGCUGCUUUCUACAAGGAUGUCCUUUUAUUCAGGAACGACUCUGUUUUCAUUAUAAAUCCUUGGGCAUAUGAGUGGAAGAUGCAUUCAAAGCACAUGCCUUCACUGAGAGGCAAUCUAGCUCAAGCGACGUGCUCGCUUCCGAGCAGGGUCCAAAUCCCUAAGUAAACACGUUCCACGGGGGCUGUGCUGAAGGACAUUUUUCAAAGACCAAUGCCAUGUGGUUGAAGUCAGCUCCGGAGGGCCGCAUACCUUUUCAAUCAAAGCCACAGCUGCUGGACGGAGAGCCCUACCCCGGGAGAAGAGCCUGGAGAACUCGAUCCAUCUCCAUGGAGCAGGUGGGGCCCAGCUCAUCUGCAGACCCUGCUCCCGGGGUUCACUUCUAAGAUGGCUGCUCAGAACCCCAAGAGCAGAAGCUGUGCCCUGAAAGCUGAUAUGGUCCGAGAUGCUUUCCCAGUUCUGCUUGGUAAAGAUGGCAACGCAGCUUCCUCUCUCGCAGGGUUUUGGGCAACCCCUGGACUGACAGGCUAGGACAAAGAGGGGAAGACAGGCUUGGGUUUGGUGAAAGCGUCAUGGGCAAUGUUGUAAAUCAGCACAAGGGACACACCAUGACUGUCCUCAGAAAACUAAUUUGGGGGCGCCUAGGCAGCUCAAUGGGUUAAAGCUUCUGCCUUCGGCUCAGGUCAUGAUCUCAGGGUCCUGGGAUCGAGCCCCGCAUUGGG